UACGUAGGGUGCAAGCGUUAAUCGGAAUUACUGGGCGUAAAGCGUGCGCAGGCGGUUGUGCAAGACAGAUGUGAAAUCCCCGGGCCUUAACCUGGGAACUGCGCUUGUUACUGGCAGACUGGAGGUGGUGGGCAAGAGGGGGGGUGGAAUUCCAGGUGUAGCAGUGAAAUGCGUAGAUAUCUGGAGGAACACCGAUGGACGAAGGCAGCCCCUGGGCUA
rnacentral:rRNA from 1 species